rnacentral:rRNA from 1 species
UACAGAGGGGGCGAGCGUUAUUCGGAAUUAUUGGGCGUAAAGGGCGCGUAGGCGGCUUUGCAAGUGACGGGUGAAAGCCCUCGGCUUAACCGAGGAACUGCCUGUCAGACUGUGAGGCUUGAGACCGGGAGAGGUGAGUGGAAUUCCCAGUGUAGCGGUGAAAUGCGUAGAUAUUGGGAGGAACACCAGUGGCGAAGGCGGCUCACUGGACCGGAACUGACGCUGAGGCGCGAAAGCGUGGGGAGCAAACAGG